UAUACAGUACACCAUCAUCUAAUAUAUGUGGCAGCGUAACACCGUUUCUCUCCGUAUCCAGCCCAGGUGCGUGUGCUGGUCAGUGUGAGCCCAGUCAAUGAACAUGAUCCAGUGUUUCAGACUUUGUUCUUCAGUGUCCCAGAGGGCACCAGGCCUGCUACGGCAGUGGGGACGGUGGUGGCCAGAGACACAGACUGGCCCUUUGACAACAUCCGCUACUCAAUCACUACAGGAGACACCAUGUUCACUAUUGACCCUGAGGGAGGUGAUGCUACAGCUGAGCACACAUGGAUCAGCUUAAGAUUCUUAGUUAACAUUUAGCAUCCAUAAAUAUGUUUCAUCUCUCUCUCCAGGGGAUCUGUAUCUUGGCGGAGAGCUGGACUUUGAGGAGCAGCAGGUGUAUGUAGUGGGGGUUCAGGCUGAGGAUUAUGAGCAGGAUAUGGACCGUACCAACCGCAAGAGAAGAAGUGGACAUCACCGUACAAGUGGAGGUGAGGAAUGGACAGAGAGCUAAAGCACCAUUGUACAUGUAUGUAGUACAGGAUAACAGAGUUGAUCCAUUAUUUAUCCAUAUAAUACCAUAGAUUAAAAAUGGUUUUGGAUGUAAAUUGUGAAAACUAAUGAUUACUGAGUAUCCAUUCCAUCCUCUCUGUCAGAAUGUGAAUGAUAAUGCUCCAGUGUGUGACCCAAUCGUCUAUGAGUCCACCAUCUUCUCCACCUUCUCUAAUAAACUCCCCAUCCUCUCACUCAGCUGUGCUGAUGCAGACAGCGACAGACUAACAGCUACCAUCACUAACGGUACACAGUGUGUGUGUAACUGAGUAUAUGUUUCAGUUUACACCAAAAUUCCCCACCACACUCUCAGGCUAACUAAAGAUUUGUUAAAAGUAUGUUUGCAUAUCUGAGCACGUGUUAUUUAAUUCACGACAGGUGCUGCAGUGGACCGGUUUCUGAUGACCGGGUUGAGUCUUGUCUCCAAAAAUGUGUUCUCCUACGUGGUGGAUAGGGUUUAUGACCGCACCAUGUUUGAAGUCACCAUCUCUGUGUCGGAUGGCAGGCAUCACACUGAGGCUGUGGCCUUCAUCUACGUAGUUCCCUGGACCACUACUGUUCCUACUACUACUACUACUACUACCACCAAUACAGUAAGAUCAGCCUUGUAGAGACAUGGUACACACCACUAUAACACAGCUACUGCAUAUGAAGGAAAACCUUUUACAACAGGAGGCCCAUAAGAGACUGUAUCAUAUCUUUGCUGCCCCUCUAGGCUAAACCUCCACAGGUGGUCACAGUGAUGUCAGACUACUGGGAUCCAGAGCCUUGGUUUGUUGCUGUGGUGACUGUUACCGGCGUCCUGCUCCUGCUGGUCACAAGUCUGCUCAUCUGGGCCAUUCUGAGCCGGUGGUCCCCCCCGCACACACUGACCACCUAAAAAUAAGUCUGAUCAGAUGAUGUCGAGUAAGGUUGCAUAACUCUGGUCCUUGACAACCUCUGUUCAGUUAAUCCGCUCACUGUAGAGUUUACAAGAUCUGCUCUCCCAUGUACGCAGCAGGGCUUUCAGCAGGGGUUAGGUUAUUGUAACAGUCCAUAAUAGGAAUUUUAUGUUUAUGCCUGCAGCGUCUAUGGUUGGGGUCCAAAAGAUGAGCCUGAACCUCCAUCAAAUAAGACGGAAGAGAUCGGCAAAAUGAACACAGAAGUGAGUCAAAAUGGGGCCAGUGAAAAUGACCAGGCAAGUUGGAUCAAUGGUUUCCAAUUGCAUCCUGCUGAGAAUAAAUAUGUGAAACAGCAUGGGUUUACAUUUGAAUGUGUUUCUCCAAGGCCUCACUAGAUGGCACCCUCAGUCUGUCUAAAGUCAGCAUACAAGACGACCUGAUGAGGUUUGAUGGGAAGGCACAAGAUCCAGUUUCAGGGCGCAGUUACCUGUUCAACUCUUCCACUGGUGAACGGCGUUGGUUGUAGGGGACGUCCAGUCUUACCAUCAACGACCUGCACUGAUUUAAGUGCUGUUUAUACCAUCUGGAGCUGAAGAGGAUUCAUAUGAUGUGGAUUCAUAGUAUGUGGAUUCAUAGUAGGUGCGCAAUCAGGCAUUUUAGCAUAAUUGUGAUUUCAAUUACAGGUCGAUUUGAAGUUUGUAAGAGUGAUAUUUUAAAAGGUCCUAUUUAAUACAUAAUCAUGCUGACCUGCUGUGUUGGAGGCUACUCCUUAAUUACUAUUCCUGUGUGUACUCAUGUAGUUCAGCAUCAACAACAGUAUACCUUAUAUAUACACACAGAAGUAUGUGGACACCCCUUCAAAUGAGUAAAUGUGGCCAUUUCAGCCACACCCGUUGCUGAUUGGUGUAUAAAAUCUAGCAAACAGCCAUGCAAUGUCCAUGGACAAAGAUUGGCAGUAGCAUGGCAUUACUGAAGAGCUAAGUGACUUUUAAUGUGGCACUGUCAUAGGAUGCCACCUUUCCAACAAGUCAGUUCAUCAAAUGUUUCCCCUGCUAGAGCUGCUGUAAGUGCUGUUAUUGUAAAGUGGAAAUGUCUAGGAGCAACAACGGCUCAGCCGCAAAGUGGUAGACCACACAAGCUCACAGAACAGGACCGCUGAAGCACGUAUAAAUAGUCAAUCCUCGGUUGCAACAUUCAUUACUCAGUUCCAAACGGCCUCUGGAAGCAACAUCAGCACAAUAACUGUUUGUCGGGAGCUUCAUGAAAUGAGUUUCCAUGGCCAAGCAGUCACACAAAAGUCUAAAAUUACCAUGCAUAAUGCCAAGCAUCGACUGGAGUGGUGUAAAGCUCACCACAUUUAGACUCUGGAGCAGUGGAAACACAUUCUCUGGAGUGACGAUUCACUCUUCACCAUCUGG